rnacentral:rRNA from 1 species
UAAGGAAUAUUGGUCAAUGGAGGGAACUCUGAACCAGCCAUGCCGCGUGAAGGAUGAAGGUCCUCUGGAUUGUAAACUUCUUUUAUGUGGGAAGAAAUGCAUUCUUUAUAGAGUGUUUGACGGUACCAUAGGAAUAAGCACCGGCUAACUCCGUGCCAGCAGCCGCGGUAAUACGGAGGGUGCGAGCGUUAUCCGGAUUCACUGGGUUUAAAGGGUGCGUAGGUGGGAAUGUAAGUCAGUGGUGAAAUCUCUGAGCUUAACUCGGAAACUGCCAUUGAUACUAUGUUUCUUGAAUUAUCUGGAGGUCAGCGGAAUAUGUCAUGUAGCGGUGAAAUGCUUAGAUAUGACAUAGAACACCAAUUGCGAAGGCAGCUGGCUACAGGUGGAUUGACACUGAGGCACGAAAGCGUGGGGAUCAAACAGGAUUAGAUACCC